rnacentral:lncRNA from 1 species
UUGAACCUCCAUGGGCACGGUUCACUUGAACUUGGCAGGUUUGAUGCUUGGAUUCAGUAUCCAACACCUUUCCUUGGUGUGCCCAUCCCUCUUGCAAUGCUCACUCUCCAAGCAUCUCACACCAGAAGCUUAUUGAGUAGCUUUCUUCUUCCCUCUACUUCGGCUGGAUCACUCCAUGAUCAGCUUGCAAUGGGCUUGCACUGGUCUUGGUUUAAAUUGCCUCUACUUCGGCUGGAUCACUCCAUGAUGGUCUUGGUUUAAAUUGCCUCACCCUCCUGGUGAUGCUCUUCUUUGUAUGUCGAUUGUCCUCUCUACACUCAUCUGAUGUGUAGGCUAUGGUGACUAAACCACCAUGGACAGAACAACACGUCAUCUCUCCAUUGUCACAACAUCCUC